UUUAUCAUCACCUCUGGACAUAGUAGUGCAAUAUGACCUUAACUUUAUUCAAUUAAAAGUGCUGUCAAUUAGAUUUGUAUUAAAUUAGUUAUCAGGUUUGUAUUAAAUUAUAUCUUAAGAUUGUUGUAUAUUUUAUUAUUAAAUCGCCCUUUCUAAAAUUUGGUAUGUUUUUUCAUUUGUCAGGUCUUAUUUUUAUCAAUAUGGUUUUCUUGUUAAAUUUAUUAUGAACAGGUAAUAGAUUAAUAUGGUUCAAAACAUACU